AAUAUUAAUAGAGUUCUUCGACAUUCGGAUCUCCCGGGCUUCCCUGGGCCGGGAGGCGGUUGUAGCGGAGGAAGCCAACCCGCCUCUGCCUUUCUGCCAGCCUCUCGGAAGCAGGUCACAGCCCCGCCGCUCUCCCAAGACUGAGCUGCCUGCUCCCGCUCCCAUCUUGCGGAUAGCAAGAUUCCAGUGCAGGGAGGUUUCCGUGACCGCCCCUGACCCCGUCCCAACCCGGGGAGCGGUCUGGGCCCCCUGCCAGUUUCAGCUUCAGGCUUCUCAAGGCAGCAACUGCCCCUGGAUUUGCUCCAGUUUUUCUGUCUUCCUGGAAGUCACUCACUCAAAAUUUUUCUUGAGCGCCUGAUAGGUUCCAGGUACUAUUCUAGGCACCCAGUUGAGAGCAGCAAAAACAAACACAUACAAAAGUCCCUCCUGGAGCUAUAUUAUAAUGGAAGAGACAGAACAGCAUAAGUGAAAUACAUAGCGUGCCAGUAAUUGAGGCAAAAGGCAAAAAAUGCAGGGAAAGAGGGUGUGAAAUGUACAUGGAGGGAAAUAGCGAGAUUUCAGUUUGCCUACAGUGUUCCAGGAGCAGCCAGGAGGCCAGUGUGGCUGAAGCAGGGUGGCGGAGGAGAAGCUGGGGCUGAAGGGGUCAGCUGCGGAGGGGUGGGGUCGGGUGGAGGGCAGGGGAGAUUAGAUGAGGGAAGGCCUUGUGGGGCCAUUGUAAGGACUUGGGCUUCUCUCCUGGGUGAGUUGGGAGCCCUGCAGGGUUCUGAGCAGAAGAAGGGCGCAUUCUGAUUUCUUUUAAAAGCAGCAUUCUGAAUGAGGACAGACUGCCGGAGGCAGGGUCAGAAGCCAGGAGGCCCUUUAGUAAUCUAGGAGCCAUGAGGGACAUGUCCAACGGUGUUGGGAGCUAAAAAUGACCGGAAAUGGAAUUUUGGAAAUACUUUAAUGGGAAAACUGACAAGAUUUAUUGCCAGGCCAGAUACGAGGUAAGAGAGAGAUAAAGAAAGGACAAGGAGAGUACCAAGGCUUUGUCUUGAGCAACAGGAAGAAAGAGUGGCCAUUAACCAAGAUGGAGAAAACUGGCCCUGCUCGUUCGGUGGGUGGGAGUGGGCCUCUUUGGGGUGCAGUUUGAACAGAUGAGGUUUGGAGGUGUGCAUGAGACAUCCAAGGGCAGAGCUGAGUAGACACUGGUUAGACAGGUCUGCAGGGCCAGAGGAAAUGUAUAGGCUGGAGAUAAACACGGGAAGUCAUCAGCAAGACCUGCUGGUAUUUAGAACCACGGUUUUCUGAGAGGAUCUAGCUCUGUGCUGUCGGAUGUAGUAGCCCCUGGCCACAUGUGACUACCGAGCACUUGAAAUUAG
rnacentral:lncRNA from 1 species